UACGUAGGGGGCAAGCGUUGUCCGGAAUCAUUGGGCGUAAAGCGCGUGUAGGCGGCUUGAUAAGUCUGCUCUGAAAGCCCGGGGCUCAACCCUGGGAGGCGGGUGGAUACUGUCGAGCUCGAGUCCGGAAGAGGCGAGUGGAAUUCCUGGUGUAGCGGUGAAAUGCGCAGAUAUCAGGAGGAACACCAAUGGCGAAGGCAGCUCGCUGGGACGGUACUGACGCUGAGACGCGAAACGUGGGGGAGCAAACAGG
rnacentral:rRNA from 1 species